rnacentral:rRNA from 1 species
AUUGAACGCUGGCGGCAGGCUUAACACAUGCAAGUCGAGCGGGGGAAGGUAGCUUGCUACCGGACCUAGCGGCGGACGGGUGAGUAAUGCUUAGGAAUCUGCCUAUUAGUGGGGGACAACAUCUCGAAAGGGAUGCUAAUACCGCAUACGUCCUACGGGAGAAAGCAGGGGAUCUUCGGACCUUGCGCUAAUAGAUGAGCCUAAGUCGGAUUAGCUAGUUGGUGGGGUAAAGGCCUACCAAGGCGACGAUCUGUAGCGGGUCUGAGAGGAUGAGCCGCAACACUGGUACUGAGUCACGGCCCAGACUCCUACGGGAGGCAGCAGUGGGGAAUAUUGGACAAUGGGGGGAACCCUGAUCCAGCCAUGCCGCGUGUGUGAAGAAGGCCUUAUGGUUGUAAAGCACUUUAAGCGAGGAGGAGGCUACUCUAGUUAAUACCUAGGGAUAGUGGACGUUACUCGCAGAAUAAGCACCGGCUAACUCUGUGCCAGCCGCCGCGGUAA